rnacentral:rRNA from 1 species
AUGAACGCUGGCGGCGUGCCUAAUACAUGCAAGUCGCACGCUGGAAAUCUAGCUUGCUAGAUUGAAGGCGUGGCGAACGGGUGAGUAAUACAUAAGCAACCUACCCACGAAGACUGGGAUAAUCUCUGGAAACGGGGACUAAUACCGGAUAGGUAAUCGGAAGGCAUCUUCUGAUUAUUAAAGGUUAAAAACACUGGUGGAUGGGCUUAUGGCGCAUUAGUUAGUUGGUGAGGUAACGGCCCACCAAGACGAUGAUGCGUAGCCGGCCUGAGAGGGUGAACGGCCACAUUGGGACUGAGACACGGCCCAGACUCCUACGGGAGGCAGCAGUAGGGAAUGUUCGGCAAUGGGGGAAACCCUGACCGAGCAACGCCGCGUGAGUGAUGACGGCCUUCGGGUUGUAAAGCUCUGUUGUAAGGGAAGAACGGUAGAUAGAGAAUAUCUAAAUGACGGUACCUUACCAGAAAGCCACGGCUAACUACGUG